UGAAGUCGUAACAAGGUAGCCGUACCGGAAGGUGCGGCUGGAUCACCUCCUUUCUAAGGAGCACAGUACCGAUUGCAGACAAACGUUCUGCACGGUCAGCUCAUGGGUGGAACGUUGAUUAGUUGGCACGGUUUCUGACACUUCCUGUAAGUACUGCUUCGGCGUGGAACACAGCGAAAGUCGAUGGGAUCGUGCUUGGCACGUUGUUGGGUCCUGAAGGUACGGCCGUUUGGUCAUGUCUUCAGUGCCGGCCCCAGUGAACUCGCCAGCUUGUCUGGUGGGGUGAUGGGUGGCUGGUCGUUGUUUGAGAACUACACAGUGGACGCGAGCAUCUGUGGCCAAGUUUUUAAGGGCGCACGGUGGAUGCCUUGA
rnacentral:misc_RNA from 1 species